GGGUUGUGCGCCCCCCUCCCCCAGGGGAUGUAUUCAUUCCUCACUUGAACUAGUUCACUUCAGCUUCCUCUCCUCCUCACUCAUGUUGCCCCGCCCCCAUAUGAUAGCUCCUUCCUCGUCCCCUGCUUCCCCUGACUGGGCUAGACAGAGGGAGACUGAGACACUCAGAAGACAUUCCCCAACUGUAUCUCUGCUCCUCCCCCACUCCACCUCUGAGUUUGCUCUCCCCACCCUUCUGUGCCUCAACUCCCUCUCCCAUAUGUGCCUCAGCUCCCUCUCCCAUAUGUGCCUCAGCUCUCUCUCCCAUAUGUGCCUCUGCCACUUCCCUCCUCUGUGCCUCGGCCCAUUUGCCUUCUGUAAUUCUGACACUAUCUUCACCCCCUCCCCUUCCCCGUGUGCCCCUGCCCCUUUCUGUGUACCUCUGCUGCUUCCUCAUGUGUUCCUCUGCCACCCCCAUCCCACUAUGGCUGGUCGCUGAGAUCAGUGGCGAAGACCAUAUACAGCGCCACAUAAUCCAUCUAAAGGAUAAUAGGGGCAGCUCCAGAACAAAGGCUGUGAAAAGCAAUUUACAGUACAUUGAAGCGUACAGAAUUUGAUUCUACUUCAGGGAAGCAUGGAGAUCUGCUCAAUACAAGCAGUGCCACAACGUAGUGUAACAUGAUGUACUGUAAAUCACAAUGUACUGUAACUGGCAUAACUGAAUGGUUGGGAAAAUACAGGUGCAAUCAUUUACAAUUAUAAGCUCUGCAGCAUCAGAUUCAUUUCAAAGCUUUUAUUAAUUCCUGUUAAAUGGAGAAAGGGCCUGAUUCUGAGUUGAACGUAGCUGCUAAACACUGAUGAAUCUCUCAGAUUUUAGCAUACUGGACAUGCCAAAGAAAGACAAAUAAAUCAAUCUGUGACACCACUUGCGCAGGAUUAGUCAUAUCGGACACCACUGCUGCAAGCGGAUUGAAUGAACCACACUUUAGGGCAGAUGUACUAAGCUUUGGAGUAAUAAAGUGGAGAAACAAAAAGUACCAA